rnacentral:misc_RNA from 1 species
UUUCCGCAGGUGAACCUGCGGAAGGAUCAUUAUUGUAUAACCGAGGUGCGAGGGCUGUCGCUGACCCGAAAGGUCGUGCACGCCCGAGUGCCCUCACACACAUCCAUCUCACCCCUAUGUGCACCACCGCGUGGGUCCCCCUUUGGCUUGUUCGGAGGGGGGCUUACGUUUUCACACAAACUUUGUAUGCAGUGUAGAAUGUAUUUUUUGUUUUUGCGAUCACGCAAUCAAUACAACUUUCAACAACGGAUCUCUUGGCUCUA